UUUUUUUGGUUUUUUUUGGAGGGUCUUCAGAAACAUGUCAAGUUGUACAGUGUUUCUGAAGCAGAGUGGAGAGGGAUUUUCUGGCUGUGCAGGUUGCAGAACCUCUUGUUGGCCACUUAAGAGAAAUGAGCUGGAUGCUGACCUCUUUGCAAGCUGUAGCCCAAAUCAUAACAACUUACUUGGAAGACAAAUGAGACUUUGGAGAAACCUUAGAGAUGGAGCAUAGGGCUGCCACACCACAGACCAGCCCUAUAGAAACCAAAAUGGGACUUAUCAGGGAUACAGGCUGUAAAAAUUGCAUUAUACACUCUCUGCCUCAUGAACGCAGAUCUUGUAAGGCUCAUCUGGAGAAAUCUAUUCGUUGCUAGGCAAGCAUUAAUGGAAAUGUAAGGAGCCUGGAUGAAUGUGAGCCUCCAAGUGGACUAACACCAUACAGAUGGCUCGAGUAGAAGCCAGAAGAGAGGAAGAAGGUACAAUGCCUUCUACAGCUCACAUUGCUGCUUUUGGAUUUGGUGCCACUCUUGAUUUGGCUUUGUGACGGCUUUUGCUGGAGCAGUUGCCUGUAUCCCAGCUGAUUGUCCAACAGAGGAAUGCCUCAGGCCUCCAACUUGUUUCUGAAAAGAGGUAUUAGAUCUGCCCCUCUGGAAUGGCAUCAUUGAGACCAAACAGAGAGAGAAGGUUUCUCAUAGGAAGAUACAAGCUGUCACGAUCCCUUGCCAAUCACAUGAGAACUGACCUAGGGAGAACAUCAACCGAAGUUCACCAUUUGGCUUUGCUGGUAGGAAGGAGGAGCUCUGAAGCACCUGGCUAAACCCACCUGACAAUAGCAGGAGCCUGAUGAGACAGGAAAUGAGCAUUCCUGCAUGAGUAGGAAGUGCAGGCAACUUGAACUCACAAGAAAGACGUCAUAAAGUGUACUACUCUCUAUAAAAAGGGGAAGACUUGUGGAAAAGACACCAUUUUUGUGGUUGGCUCAGUGAAAGCUAGAAAGCAAAUCUCUUCACACUCCUGGAGAGAGAAGCCCCAGGUUGUGUCCAGACUUGAAAACUAAGAGUUAGAAAGUCCCACAGCCUGUCUGAGCUUUACACUGGGAGGAAAAUGAGCUGCCUGAGCAGAGGAUGAAUGUUGUCUUGGGUCACCAUCAAGAUCUUGACCUGCCUAACUGAUGUGACUCAGGGAAAGAGAUGUAAUAUAUGAGGGAAUAGCGAGAACAGCAGGUGUUGUCAGAAUUUAUGGAGGAGCAGCAAGCCCAGGCAGCAGCCCCACAGGAAGAGCAGUGACAGUUACCACAGUGAAUGAUCUCGGGAAUUACGAAAGCAGGGCAGAGCCCCAGCUGCCCUAUAGCCUGGCCUUUGGGCAGGAAAAAACAAGACAUUGACUCUAGGCUUGCAUGGCCAACUCAAGCAGUAAGACUAUCAGCGAUCAGGGCAACCAGCCACCCGAGACCUGUGCUGAACAACCGUGGCCCAUGCUGUGCAUGCUGAUCUCUGAGCGAUGGUACUGCUGCCGACUAGGAGAGGUACAUCUUGAACCAGUUGGGAAUCCCAGAAUAGAAGUACUGAUAAAGGCUCAUGGAGGAAUUUAACUACCCAGACAUCUGUUGAGUAACAAAUACAGCUGAACAUGCAUCAUCGCAGAGGUUCCUAAAUUACAGUGAAGACAACUUUAUGAUCCAGAAAGUAGAGACUCCUGAGGAGAAGCCAUCCUGGAUCUACAGGAAUAUAUUAAUGAAAUUUGCAGAUUAAACUUUGCAAGUGCAUUAAAAAUAUAGCAGCUCUGUGACUUUAGCACGGCAUCGUAUGUAUUUAGAGUGGACUGUCUUCCACAUCCAUUUAUUAAUUUUUACUAUUUCAUAAGUAAAUGAAGGCUCAAACCCACCUUCUGCUGUCUUUAAAACUGUUUGCAUCCUCCAUUCAUGCCAGAUAUUUGGAUUCUACAGACUAUUAACUAAUAUACUCUGCACACACUUCUGUUGGAUGAUGUGUAACUCAUGACAGACACCCAAAGAAUUAGAAAAACUGACAGAUAAUAACACUGUGCAAUUCAGUUCAACAGUGCAAAAGCAUACCUUUUGCAGAAGAAAAAUUGUUAGAAACAAAUGUUGUAUAAUACAAGGAACCUUAAGAUGCAGAAAUAUUGAAAAGAUAAUAAUGAGCAGCAAAUAAGGCAUGAGUUUUCAAUAAGGCAGAAUAGCAAGGGAGACCUAUAAAGUUUUGGAGUACAAAGAAAGAUAUUAUGUCACGGGGUAAAGUUCAAAUAGGGAUUUUCCCCCUCCUUGUUGGUAUCAGGCAAUGCAAAAUAGGCUAGCAUGUUAAAAUGAGCAACAAAAAGGGUUGCGCUGGUUGUCAAGAUGAACUUCUGGCAGUAGAACGUAGGAGUUCAUGAAAAAUCUUCUGGAAGUUUUGUCUUAAAAUGACACUAAGGAGGAAAAAGAAAUGCAACCCAAAAACCUGCAGCAUUUGAUUUUUAUCCUAAAACAAGGGACUCUGAGAUGUCCAAGGGGAAAGAUUACUCUUAAAAUUUCUCACAUAAAUCAGCUAGUCUUUGCCAUCCUCAAAGAGAAACAGCCCUGAAUGAAUCCUGCUUCAUUCCUCGGAUUCAGUACAUGGAUAAUGCAGGUUUACUCUCUAGUGAUUCAUUUCCUUACAUCUGGAGAAUGUGUCUUUUGAAUUUGGGUGGGGGGAGAACAUAUUUUUUUUUCUCUGUUGCCAAGUUUUAAUUUGAUGCAUUCAUUUCUCCAUUACCAUUCUGUCCCAGAAUUUAUUGUCUCAGACACUACAGCAAAAUCUUUUUCACAUCUCUUCGAGAAGGUAACGUUUCAAUUUACAUUUGCAACAGCAAGGUAUGAUCUCAGUGGGAUGGUAACCUUUGUAAUCUUCCUGCUAAUACACUGCUCAUUAGCUUUGUGAUGAAAUAUGCCCGUGUUGUAAAUAUUUCCGAAAAAGAAUAAAACUUUUCACUUGUCUGCAUUUGCCUUGACAUCUGCUACAGGGCAUACGAGAAGGAAAUCUACCUUGAAAAGUUAUUCCAUUUCAGUAUUGUAUGAAGGCUGUUAUCAAAUAAUUCCACUCCACUCGAUCAAAGACCUUCUCAGCAUCUCAUGUUAAUAAUGUUCAUGGUCUUGAGCCUUUGCUUCUUCUAAGAUUUUAGAGUCCCCAAAGCAUCCCCUAAAAGGUCACUGAGAGGUCUGGGAGUGUUCAGUUCUUCCAUCAGAAAGAGGCAAGAGCUCCUUUUAAUCUUAAUAUUCAAUUUCUGUACACACACGCACACACACACACCAAAAAAAAAAGAAUAAUUAAUCUCAGGAAGAUGGAACUCAGUCCAACAAAAGCAAUAGUGGAAGAUUUUUUUAUCAAAG
ensembl:lncRNA